CACCGCCGAGACCGCGUCCGCCCCGCGAGCACAGACCCUCGCCUUUGCCGCUCCACCGCCCGUCCACACCCGCCGCCAGGCCUCGGCGCGCCGGAAGUGGGUAGGGCGGGGGCGACCUUGGCUCACAGCGCGCCCGGCUUUUUUCGCAGCUCACCAUGGAUGAUGAUAUCGCCGCGCUCGUCGUCGACAACGGCUCCGGCAUGUGCAAGGCCGGCUUCGCGGGCGACGAUGCCCCCCGGGCCGUCUUCCCCUCCAUCGUGGGGCGCCCCAGGCACCAGGGCGUGAUGGUGGGCAUGGGUCAGAAGGAUUCCUAUGUGGGCGACGAAGCCCAGAGCAAGAGAGGCAUCCUCACCCUGAAGUACCCCAUCGAGCACGGCAUCGUCACCAACUGGGAUGACAUGGAGAAGAUCUGGCACCACACCUUCUACAAUGAGCUGCGUGUGGCUCCCGAGGAGCACCCCGUGCUGCUGACCGAGGCCCCCCUGAACCCCAAGGCCAACCGCGAGAAGAUGACCCAGAUCAUGUUUGAAACCUUCAACACCCCAGCCAUGUACGUGGCUAUCCAGGCUGUGCUGUCCCUGUACGCCUCUGGCCGUACCACUGGCAUCGUGAUGGACUCCGGUGACGGGGUCACCCACACUGUGCCCAUCUACGAGGGGUAUGCCCUCCCCCAUGCCAUCCUGCGUCUGGACCUGGCUGGCCGGGACCUGACUGACUACCUCAUGAAGAUCCUCACCGAGCGCGGCUACAGCUUCACCACCACGGCCGAGCGGGAAAUCGUGCGUGACAUUAAGGAGAAGCUGUGCUACGUCGCCCUGGACUUCGAGCAGGAGAUGGCCACGGCUGCUUCCAGCUCCUCCCUGGAGAAGAGCUACGAGCUGCCCGAUGGCCAGGUCAUCACCAUUGGCAACGAGCGGUUCCGCUGCCCCGAGGCGCUCUUCCAGCCUUCCUUCCUUGGCAUGGAGUCCUGUGGCAUUCACGAAACUACCUUCAACUCCAUCAUGAAGUGUGACGUGGACAUCCGCAAAGACC
rnacentral:sRNA from 1 species